rnacentral:misc_RNA from 1 species
CGGACGGCGCAGGAUCUAAAACCGCGCUAGGCGCUGCUCUCCACGCUCGCUCGGUCCGCUCUUCUCUUACCCGUGGAUAUACUACCGGUGCUUUUUCGUGGGGGAAGAACUCGAAACACGCAUAUUCCCGUGGCUGGUGCCUUUGCCCGGCGGCCCGCGCGCAACAUAUACCUACACCAACCAACAACCUUCCACCUUCUGUCCGCCGGAGUUACGACGAGUGGCACACGCAGCAGUAGUUACGAUUUAGGGAGGAGGGUCGCCCGCCGUCUCGCGGACAGUUCUCUCUCUGGCGCGUCUCCUCUUCUCUCUCCUCUCUGCGUGACCGGUGUCGGUUCGUUCGUUCGUUCAGUAAUCGCCGCGAGGAGGAACGCGCUUCUUCUUCCGCGACUCCGGUACGAUCGCGCGCCCUUUCGCAUCCCGAGAUAUCAGUUUUCGACGCGGACGCCCGGUGUGUGCCCCCUGUUAUCCGUGGCCACGGUGAGAUCUAUCGGCGCGGGACCAAUCCCCGAGGAAUCGGUCGCGGCAACGUCGCCUCGCCGUCGCUCGACUUUACGCUCGUGUUCGGCGCGCUGUCGCGACGAUCAACGCGCUACUUUUUUCGGCCCAGCGAAAAGCUGCUCGUCCACCCCGGUACUCUGAUCGGUUUUGCGCGCGUCAACGGUGUUUCGCGCGUCGUCCGUCCAGGUGCUCCGUUUCGUUCCACUUAAAACUCGAAGGAUGCAAGCGUGUCUCGGUUUCGUCAGUGACAUACGUUCAGGUGUUUGUUAUCUGUGAAACAACAGUGCGAGUCAGCCGCGUUCACCGACGGCGAAACAGGAAGUCGAGUGGACACGGAGCCAACAAUCGUGUAACGUGGUGAUUUUUUUUCUCCGCGACGGUGGAGAUUCCGGUUUUCGGUGCAAGUUCUCGCGUAUCCGCGUUCGCGCGCUCCACCAAGAGGGUAGUUUUCGUCGGUUCGCGAGGGAAGAGACCACGCGCUGGACGAGAAGAGGUCAAGGAAUCGCGAGCAGGAUAAUGUCGCGUUACUGACGAGCCACAGGGACCUAGCCAACCUCUUUGGCCGUUUGGUCGGAACUUCCGGCGGUGUGACCGCGACGAUGAGGAAGCACGUGUGUCCGGCCGUAGCCGUGGUCCUGUUGCAACGUUCGAGCACGCGUGCCGAGCACUGCUGACGCUCGGUCGCUUCGAUUUCACGCCGUCACAGAGUCUCGUCACCGGUCGACUCGGAUCCGGGGAUCGUCGGGAAGCAUCCAUCCGACUCGAGCCACGUUUUCCCGGUCCUGUUACAACUUUAAACUCACACCGUCGGCUGCGACCGCCUGCAACCGCGAACCUUUACAAACUCGACCACCCCGAACUUUCGAUCGUCCGACGGCUCGGUACUUCGAUCGGUCUGUGUAACCUCCCGCUAUUCUACGAGUCUAUAGUGCGACGAACCGGGAUAUACGGGCUAAACCGAUCGCCGCGAUAAGGCGAAUCGACAAGUGAGGAAACCACUGUGAAAGCGGUGUGUGUGAAGUGUUCGAGGUUACUUGCUUAUACUGUGGGAAAAUACAGCCGCUACGGUGGCUCAGCACGCAGAGUUCCCCGGCGCGGCCAGGGCGUUCAUGGCACAGCCAAGGUAUGACGAUGGUGGGCUGCACGGGGGUUACCUCGAGGGCGGAGGCGGCGGUGGUGGCGCAGGGCUGUACGAUCCGCACGGGAGCGCCCGGGGCGUACCGGGGCUCCAUCACAGUCCACACCUCGGCGGUAUGGGGCCAGCACACCCCCAGUACCCACCGCCCCCGCCACAACCACCCCAACACGUACUCGCGGCCGCAGCCGCGGCUGCUGCUUCCGCGGUACCCGAUGUCCAUAAACGAGACAAGGACGCGAUUUAUGGACACCCCCUGUUCCCGCUUCUCGCGUUGAUCUUCGAGAAGUGCGAACUCGCGACGUGUACACCGCGGGAACCUGGUGUCGCGGGCGGUGACGUGUGCUCGUCAGAGAGCUUCAACGAGGACAUUGCUGUCUUCUCUAAACAGAUCAGACAAGAGAAACCUUACUACAUCGCGGACCCGGAGGUGGACUCGCUGAUGGUCCAGGCGAUCCAGGUCCUCCGGUUUCACCUCCUCGAGCUUGAAAAGGUGCACGAGUUGUGCGACAACUUUUGCCAUCGAUACAUCAGCUGCUUGAAGGGGAAGAUGCCGAUCGAUCUGGUGAUCGACGACAGAGAGAGCUCGAAACCGCCCGAAAUCGGGAACGGGUUGGACGGCGGUGGGCCAAGGAGCACCGCGGACAGCACCAGCCACACGGACGGAGCCAGCACGCCGGACGUCGUGAGUACCUCACCAUCGUCAACGUCUUACUAUCCGCACGACGCGAUCACCCCCCAUCACCACCAUCACCAUCACCACCACCAUCACCACCAGAGCCAGAAUAAUAAUAACAAUAAUAAUAAUCACGCCGGUAUCGGCAGUACCGCCACUACCACCCCCUUGCAACUGAGCCAAAACCAAAGCCAAAACCACCACCCUGCGCCGCAGUCGAACACCACCACUACUACUGCUAUUACCCCAAGUAGCGCCGCCACAACUCCCAACUCCCUAAAGCGUACGCACCAACAGAUGAUGAUGGCAGCCGCGGCGGCAUCCGCGAUGGCCACCUCGCCGCACGCAGCCGCAUCCGCGCCCCCAGCGCACGCGCACGCCGCCCUCGCCGCCUACCACAGCAUCAGCUCGGCCGUAUACCCGUGCUCGUAAUAGACCACGCGACUUCCGUGCCGAUACCGCGAGACCUUUCUUCUUUUUUCUUCUUAUCUACCACCCUCAACCCUUGCUCCUCUCUCGUCCACUUCGAUUCACCCUUCUUCCACUUGUCUGCUACCGUUACUUCUACUUCUUCUUCUUCUUACGAUCCUCUCGCGAGUCCGUGCGUUGGCCGACUGUUCGGUCAACCACCCUCGUGGCUCCUCUUGGUGAACCUCUCUCUUCGUUCGUCGUCCAGUCGGUUAGGAAGCCGCUCGUUUAUUGGUGUGUCUGUCUGUUUCUUCUGGAACGGGAUAAUCGGUAGGUGACUACUCCAGCCGCGUGUGAGGGCACACGUCCUCGCCGAUGACACGUGCUUCUUCGGGGGUUGGACGAUCGACGCGUCUUGUGGGCCGAAGUGUCUCUCUACGGGUUAGGCCGCGAAUUGUUGGACUGGCGCUACUUGUCGGCACUUCCAGUACGUUGAUGAUCAGUGUCUCGUACUGUUCCGAGCGGAGGACGAGUGUUACUUCGUUUGGCACUUGGCUGGCUUUUGAGAUCAUUCACGAACAGUUUCUUUUUCUCUGUCUCUCUUCUUUUUUGCUUCUCUCUACCAUUCUGUCACUGUUACUUUCUUCUUUUCACUGUCCGUUAAAACGUUGCUCAGCAGCCAAUUCACAUCGUAUGUACAUAAUUACACACGUUCAAACGUCACUCAUAUUCUACGUCGAGGUCUUCUCGUUCGAUCACGGAGCCGAUUCGCGCUCGAAGUUCCUCCUCGAAGGGAGAAGCGUUCGCCCGGCUCGGGCGAGCAGAGAGAAUCGGCUUGGUCAAUUACGUAAGACGGCGUCGUGUUAGCGAGGAAGAAUGCUUCUAAAUUCGUCUCGAGCCAGACACCGUCCGAUGACAUCGAUUUUCGUUCCGCUUUCGAUACACGUUCGCCAAUAUCCUCGCCCCUCCAAACGAGGAGACAGGCCGUCUUUUCGAGAACCCGAUCGGCUCGCGACGAGCUAUUAUAGUCGGCGAACGUCUUAUGCAAUUCAGCUUGGUCGUUCUUCGUGGUCGUUCGCUUCUCUUCGACAAAGGAAGCGGUGCACGUGGCCCGCUGGCCACGUGGCACACUCGCGCGAUCUUCUUCAUCUAUCUUCCCCCUCUGUUCCCUUCAAGGUCUGUUCUCGCGGUGCGGCACAGCGCGCGGAUUCGCGAACAAAACACGGGCAUUAAACGGCCGCGUCUCCGCAGGGCGACACGGGGUGCCGGAGGAGAGGUUGUCGGGCGAGGAAUACGCGGUCGAUAUCGCGAUAGAUCGAUGUAGGUCGUGGUCCGUUUAGGUUUCCGUUUUAGGAGUUUAUCGAAUUUGACUAUGCGUUUUUUACGAUCACCCCCUGUUCGGGGGGUCGUUUUACGAGGACACGAGGUCGUUUUACGACCCCAUCUUUUUCAUUAUACGGAAACUCCCUCGAAACGCGAAUUAUGAUCGGUAUCGCGCGAUAGGUAGGUCCGCGAUUUUCUAAAUAGUUUGUUGAUCGAGAGGAAAGAGGAAAAAUAGGUGGAAAGACGCGUUCGGGAGACACGCGGAUGAGGACGAACGAAAAGGACGAAGACGUGGUCGCGAGCGAUUCAUCGCCGGCGAACCGAGAAUUAUUAAUCGUGAUCAGGAUAUACGUAAUAGAUUGUAAGGCUUAUUACGCGUGACGAGAUGAACUUUUGUGUCUAUUUUUAAAAGCGGGUACUUGUUCGAGUUCUUCUAAUUUAAGAGCCGCGCCGGAGAGAGUGUGCGCGUGAAAAAGUGCGUGGAUCCACUGAUUAUCGUGAUAAUCGUUUAGCGAAGUUAGACGUACGAUCAUCUAGUUUUUAAUUUAUUAGUAGCUUCGAUUAACGGGCGAGCGCGAUUAACGAGAAAAGGACACGAAGGAGUUAGCUAACUAAAAGCGGAGCGACUAUCUUCACCCUGCUCGACAUACACCGAUAGAUCGAUUAUUAAAAACGGACAAUUUUCAACUGUUGUUUUCAAUUAUCCUGCGGCGAUCUAUCGGGCUGUAUCGAGCAGGGUUCAGCGUGAAACCGACGAAGCAGAGCGAGAUGCCCAGAAGCCGUACGCGAUCUAAAAAAGAAACCCCUAUCUUCACCACACUAGGUCUCGGUACUCGUAACUAGGGAGUUGUGUGAGGUACAAGUCCUGGCCGGCAGGGCGCGCGAGGUCCACCCCCAAUCCCCGUACUUAAUAACCCUUGAAAAUUCUGCUGAAAAAAAAAUGAAAGCUCGAUGAAAACGAAUGUGGAGGCAGGAGAGGAGGAGCCGAACACGAGCUCCCCAGCUGGUGCCCGGACCAUACAAGCCUCGAGCUCCUCGGAGCUCCUUGACCCUGGAACACAUUAGCAUUUCCUACACGCGAACCGAACAACACCGACACUCGCGUGUACAUAAGACGCACGAACAGACACACACACAUACUCGUGAAACGCAUAGCACGGGACUCUUACACGCGGACACGCGCGAGCGUUUCGACCGAGAUGCUUGGCGAGUGUCCGCUUGCGGACUACACGGUACACCGGUGUACGCACCAACACGCACAUAUGGCCACGUACACGUCGCACGAUACGGGACAGGGAUGAAACACGACGCGUAGAUCGCGAAGGGUCCACGGGGAACGAAUGUUGGCCCUGCACGAGACAGGUACGUAACACGGAAACAGGGUGAAGGGCAAAGGGCACCAGUCCAGAGGAUCGCCACGAGGCUCCUCCUUCCCGCUCGGCGGAUCGUAAGAUUCGCUUGGCCGACAUGGCGGCCAGAUUAGAAUCAGAGAACGAAUCGCUUAAGAAGGAGAAGGACAAGGGUGUACGGAGAUCGGAAGGUGGGCUUCGGCACCGGUCGGUCGGAACCCUAGUUACGAGUGCCGAACCUAGGGCCGAGAGACCUUGGAACUAGGCUCUCUCGGCUUUCGACCUUACCCCACAAUAUGGAAACGACACACGGUGGAGUGUCGAAGCAUCGAGAUACACGGAUAUGGAUGAGAUUCGGAGAACGUACCGCGUCUAUGCUAUAUAACAAAAUUAUAUCUUUAGUUUUAGAACUAGACUGUGAGUGUUUGUACAGAUAUUUUUCUAAGGUUCUUUGCAUUUGAUUUAUUUUAAUUCGAGUUGGUUUUUAUAAGUAUGAACAUCCGCAGCCUAGCGAUAGUUCGUUAAUUUGUAACAAGUUUGUAUUUGAUUUUGCAUUUCGUUAUUAACUCUCGGACGGAUUGAAUCAUUAUGUGGGCAAAAUAGAAAAUUAUUUCACAAUUUUGUUCAAGUUUGAAAAUUAGCUUCGUAACAGUGGCAUUUUAUUCCGAGAACUGAUGUGGAUUAUCGAAGACUUUCUUGUUGACUACUUCUCUAUUGUGUUUACGUGUCUGAAAUAUUGUAUAUAUAUGUUUUUGUGCAGAAUUUGUACAUAUUAAAAAUUGCAUAUGCAAAGUGCUGCCAUAGGUUCACGUCAGUUCUAGGAUUAACACAUGGUGCAGGGUCAUUUUAAUCCACAAUUAUAUACAAUUAGAAGACUGAAUUAUGUACAAUAUUUGAAAGAUAUUUUCUACUGCAUAUACACGUGAAAAUAGGUAAAUGUAUAUGUACACAUACGUAUACUGCUUGAAGAGUAAGGUAACAUGUGACAAGAUACACGUUCUUCACAUACACACGUUAGAAAUGUUUGCGUAAUAAAUUCAGUCAAACCUAAUAUUUCAACGAGUGUCAUUAAAAAUCAUGUCAUAACUUUGAGCAGUAUAUAUUGCAUUUAUAAAGUACGUAUGCAAAUUUGAUUUCAGUAGAUGGUUCAAUAUGAUCCUGCAUCCGAGGGUUAAUAAUGGAAUGGUGAUAAACGACGUGUGACAACGGUGUUAUAAAUCUGAUAUGAAUCGACAGUCGAUAAUUGGUAAAUUUGCUAAAUUGGCUAUAUAAGAAGAUAACGAUGUAGCGUGGACGCAGGUGUAAAGGCGACCACACGUUCUCCAGCGUAUAAUGUAACCGUUUUGUUUCUUCUUCUUCUUGUUCGUUCACCGCGCGAAUUGUACAUUUUUUACGUGUUUUUUGCGAUUGUUCCGUUCUUGUUUGUUGCGUUUGUCUUCCAUAAGGCGCGAGCACGAAUCGCCUUUUUACUUGUUACGUUUACGAGACUUAGCCGGGUUAGUUGUAUAUUAUUACGAUGACGUUGAUUACGAGACGAAACGCGCGACGCGUAUGCUUCCUUCUUUUCUUCAUUUUCUUCUCUCGUUCGACCGUUUCCGCGUUCUUCUCUCUCUCGACGAGUUCUCUUAAAGCAUGUACUUAAAACGCUCGACCGUCCGCCGAGAAAAUUCGCUUGAAUUACGCUUAUCGAGCCGCUGGAUGCGUAGCGGUGCAUCUUGUCGAGCGUGUUCGCGAGACGAAGCUAACGUGAAUAAAUAGUGCCAUAGGUGCAGAGCGUGCGCUCGAACUGUGUACUUAAUCGAUCAGUUGGUCGAUCGAUCAGAAGACGAGAACAAGGCGAUUCGUUGCGGAUCAUAUCGCGUUUUCAUUGAUGAUCGGUUUAAUCGGAACUAAUUCGGUUUGUUCUUUUUCUCCUGUAAAUCGCUUCUUGCGUCGUUGCACGACUCGAUCACGGUUAUGGAACGGUUCGAUACAUUUUUCAUUUUUCGAUCAUCAUGAUAUUUGUAACCGUGAUCGAAUCGGUUUGCGCUAAUGUUCGCGUGCUUUUGUUUUAUUAAUUCUUCGAUCGAUAUUUCUUCGGUGGAGUUGGUAGGACGCGUGUAAGGAUGCGUUUGGAUUGACGAGUGAUUCAAAUCGGUGUAAUUCAAUUCGAUGAAAUAUAAUUUUAUGAAAUUCAAUUCGGUGUGAAUUCGAUGUGAUUCGGUUUGGGGCGAUUCGAGUUAGUGAGAUUCAAUUUGACGGAAUUCAAUUCGAUGGGAUUCAAUUCCACGCAAUUCAAUUUGAUGGGAUUCAAUUCCACGCGAUUCAAUUCUGUGAGAUUCAAUUCCACGCAAUUCAAUUUUAUGUAAUUAAAUUCUACGCGAUUGAAUUCCACGAGAUUCAAUUCCACAAGAUUCAAUUCCACGCGUUUCAAUUCUACGCAUUUCAAUUCCUCGAGAUUCAAUUCUAUGAGAUUCAAUUCCACGAGAUUCAAUUCCACAAGAUUCAUUUCCAUAAGAUUCAAUUCUACGUGAUUCAACUCCACGCAAUUCAAUUUCACGCAUUUCAUUUCUGCCUAAUUCAAUUCUACUUAAUUCAAUUCCACUUGAUUCUAUUGCAUUUGAUUCAAUUCUACUUGAUUAAGUUUCACGCGAUUCAGUUCCAUGCAAUUCAAUACCACGCAACUGAAUUCCACGAGAUUCAAUUCUCUCUGAUUCAGUUCUACUUGAUUCACUUCUAUCUGAUUCAAUUUUACUUGAAUUGGUACCACAAGAAUCAAAUCUACUUGUUCAAUUCUACCUGAUUCAAUUCUACUUGAAUCAAUUUCACAAAAUGUAAAUCUACUAUAUUCAAUUCUGCCUGGCUCAAUUAUACUUGAAACAAUACCACACGACUCAAUUCUACUUUAAUCAAUUCCACAUGACUCAAUUCUACUUUAAUCAAUUCCACAAGAUUCAAUUCUACUUGAUUGCGUUCUACCUAAUACAAUUCUACUUUAAUCAAUUUUGUUUGAUUCAAUUCAACAAGAUUCAAAUCUGCCUGAUUCAAUUCUACUUGAAGUAGAAGAUUCAAAUCUACUUGAUUCAAUUCCACAAAAUUCAAACCUGCUUGAUUCAAUUCUACUUGAAUCAAUUCUAUUUGCUUCAAUUCCAGUUAAUUCGAUUCUACGUAGUUCAAUUCCAAUUUGGUUCAAUUUAUCACAUUUCAAUUCCACACCUUUCAAUUCCAUUCGAUUCAAUUCCACUCGUUACCCGCGAUUCAAUUCCACUGUACUCAUUUCGACAUUAUUUAAUUCACCAUAUUAAACGCUUGAACGCUCCAUUCGAAUGUCACGAAUCCCGCGUUCACUUAUCUAGCGUGCAUUAAUAAUUUGUUCGAUAAAAUCCGCAAAAAUUACCUCGAAUAUCUAAACGCAACCUAAGAUCCGUUCUACAAAAAUGUCGACUUUAAUUUUUCCCGUAGAAUUACGUUUGUCGCGGUUGUUAGAAAUAUUCAGCACGCGAAGCGAGAUGCAAGGAUCGAAGAAUACGUUUCGUCGGGGGUUUAUGAAUCACGUACGGACACUCCGGUACCAGAGACACGAAGAGAGAGACACGUACACGCAUUCACACACACGCACACACAUACACAGACGUACCUAUAUCGAGCGACAAACACGCACACGCUGUUUCAAUUAACCGAGGUGCAUAAUUAUAGACGCGCGCCGGGGGAGAAAGAGAGUUCUCGUACGCGUCGACGGACAGAUUUGUGCAUGUAUGUGUGUUUACGAUUACAACUUUUACUGUAGGCUUAAGAAACAAUUCGGAGAAAACGGAGAAGCGAAUGAAAACGACGGAGAUUAAAAAAAGAGGGCGACACACGAAUUAAAAGAAAAUGGUAAUAAGAAAAGGAAACACUCGACCGAACAUUGUAUACGACUAGCAUUACAUAGCGAUAAUAUAUUACCGAUAAUGAUACUUGUUUAAACUAUUGUCUCAAUCAACGUAUUUUCAUUAUAAAUAAAUGUUAGCCUUGUUGAGUUAAAAAAAAUGAGAAGAAUGAAAAGAUACGAACAAGAGAGAAUAAUAUUUCAUUGCCUCUGGUAAUUUCCAUGAGAAACACCGAUAUACCGACACGAGAUCUCCGCUCGAGAUAGAGCCUCUAGCU